AGCGCAGACGGUUUAUUAAGUCUGAUGUGAAAGCCCGGAGCUCAACUCCGGAAUGGCAUUGGAAACUGGUUAACUUGAGUGCAGUAGAGGUAAGUGGAACUCCAUGUGUAGCGGUGGAAUGCGUAGAUAUAUGGAAGAACACCAGUGGCGAAGGCGGCUUACUGGACUGCAACUGACGUUGAGGCUCGAAAGUGUGGGUAGCAAACA
rnacentral:rRNA from 1 species